UUGAUCCUGGCUCAGAACGAACGCUGGCGGCGCGUUUUAAGCAUGCAAGUCGGGGGGGUCUAUUGUAGCAAUACAGUAGAUCACCGGCGUACGGGUGAGUAACACGUGAGAACUUACCUUGAGAUGGGGGAUAGCCGAUAGAAAUAUCGGGUAAUACCGCGUAUGCCGAGAGGUGAAAGAUACUUUAGUAUCGUCUUGAGAGAGUCUUGCGUCCAAUUAGCUAGUUGGUGGGGUAAAAGCCUACCAAGGCGACGAUUGGUAGCCGGCCUGAGAGGGUGUACGGCCACAUUGGGACUGAGACACGGCCCAGACUCCUACGGGAGGCAGCAGCUAAGAAUAUUCCGCAAUGGGAGAUAUCCUGACGGAGCGACGCCGCGUGAAUGAAGAAGGCAGAAAUGUUGUAAAGUUCUUUUAUAUGGGACGAAUAAAUAUAGUGAGAGAAACGCUAUAUGAUGACUGUACCAUAUGAAUAAGCCACGGCUAACUCCGUGCCAGCAGCCGCGGUCAUACGGAGGAUCCAAGCGUUAUCCGGAAUUACUGGGCGUAAAGAGUUGCGUAGGUGGCAAUGUAAGUCUCGAUAGAAAGACGACGGCUCAACCGUCGGAACUAUCGGGAAACUACAUAGCUUGAGUAUGGGAGAGGUAGAUGGAAUUUCUAGUGUAGGAGUGAAAUCCGUAGAUAUUAGAAGGAACACCGAUGGCGUAGGCAGUCUACUGGCCCAUUACUGACACUAAGGCACGAAAGCGUGGGGAGCGAACGGGAUUAGAUACCCCGGUAGUCCACGCCGUAAACUAUGGAUGCUAGCUGUUAUCAGUAUCGACCCUGGUAGUAGCGAAGCUAACGCGUUAAGCAUCCCGCCUGUGGAGUACGAGCGCAAGCUUAAAACAUAAAGGAAUUGACGGGGUCUCGCACAAGCGGUGGAGUGUGUUGUUUAAUUCGAUACUAAGCGUAGAACCUUACCAAGGCUUGACAUCCUGCGAAGGUCGCCGAAAGGUGACCGUGCUUUAUUGAACGCAGUGACAGGUGUUGCAUGGCCGUCGUCAGCUCGUGUCGUGAGAUGUAUGGUUAAGUCCAUUAACGAGCGCAACCCUUUUAGCUAGUUGAAUUUCUCUAGCUAGACUGCCCUGGUAACAGGGAGGAAGGAGGGGAUGACGUCAGGUCCGUAUUACCCUUAUGUCUUGGGCUACAAACACACUACAAUGGCCGGUACAGAGGGCAGCUAAGCCGCGAGGCGGAGCAAAUCCCAUCAAAGCCGGUCCCAGUUCGGAUUGCAGGCUGAAACCCGCCUGCAUGAAGCCGGAAUCGCUAGUAACGGUAAGUCAGCAUAUUACCGUGAAUACGUUCCCGAGACUUGUACACACCGCCCGUCAAACCAUGAAAGUCGCCAAUACCCGAAGUUCCGCCUCAGGCGGACCUAAGGUAGGGGAGAUGAUUGGGGUUAAG
rnacentral:rRNA from 1 species